CUGAUAUGCGACUCAAACCUUUGAACUCUGGGUGUUGGGUUCAUUAAUAACGUAAGUCACCCAACAGGAAGAAGAAGCAGGAACUGGGCUGGGCUUGGCCCGCCAGGAGUGCCAUCGGCCUGUCCCCCACCCCAGGGCAGAACCCCACCCCUGCUCUGCCCCAGGCACCCUCACCUCUAGCUUGGCCCCUUGCCCAGAGACCCCGCCACUAAACGCGUCCAUCAGAACCCAAAUCUUGCACUUCUUGGGGUUUGCGGGGCUGCGGGUGGGGGGCUGUGCGUAGCAGCCAGAGCUCGGGCCAGGGCAGAGGAUCUGGGUCUGAGCCCUGGCUCCUUCCUCUUGCCUGUGGGACCUUGGCCACCUGCUGGGGCUGGAGAAGGGGGUCCCCGAUGACUGAGUUCAGCGCUCAGGAAGAGUCACUGUACCCCUGGGUUUUCGAGGGGACUCAGACUCACUUAACCAGCCUGAGCAGCCGGCAGGGGGUCGCUCUGCCCUGCGGCCGUGGCUGUUUUCCCAGCCAGUUCAGCCUCUUCGGGCAUUCUCCGACUCCUUGGCGUGCCUCGCAGUGGUGGACCCUGACUCCUGGGCGAGCCCUUCUGCAGGCCCUUGACCCUGAGGGGAGCCUGGCCUCAGCCCGGGGCACUGGGUGCCACAUACCCUGUCAUCACCGGGCACCCGGGGCCUUGGCCUUGGCCUGGCACCUUCCGGGUGUGUCUGCCCAGGGCUCGCCGCAGCAUCAGUGUUCAGGAGACAAGCCACACCGCUUUUGGGGAGUGGGAAGGACUUCUGGGGGCUGUGGGGGGGGAAUAAGGAGGACCCCAGUUCCCAGCCCAGACCCACAGCAGCAAAUUCAAGCCACCGGCCCACCAAGAACCCUGGGCCUCCACACCUCCACCUGCCCUCCUGCCUCCUGGAAGCCCAUGCCUUGCCCUGGAGGCCUCCGGCGUCCAGGGGAGGCUCUCCAGCCACUCUCCGCUCUGCAGAUCAGGGCCACCGAGGCCUAGUGUGGGGUGUCCGCCUCUGGAAGACUAAGAACUCAGAGGGGAAGCACACCCAGAGCCAGGCCGGGACGGGUGCUGCCACCUUGGGCGCCUACUUGCAGCUGGACCUGCUGUGGGGAGGGGAUUCUGUGCAGAAGGCAGAGUAACCUCAGCCUUACCCCGCCCGCCCGAUCCCCUCCCUCACCCACAGCCACCUCUCAUCCUGCCUCAUCUGCCACCGCUGAAACUGGGAAAAAUGGGGUUUAACAACCCUGUUUUGAAGCUUGGGACUUGACGUGGAUUAUUUUUUUUUGGCUGCACCCAGGGCACGCCGAAGUGCCCGGGCCAUGGAUCGAAGCCCUGUCGCAUCAGCGACUCAGGCUGCGACAGGGACAAUACAGGCUCCUUAACCCCCCGAGCCACCAGGAAACUCCUUGAUAUUGAUUUUUAACGCCUGUCCUCCACAUCCGCUGGGCCCCAGGCCCAGGGCCAAGGAAAGACGGUGCAUCCAACGCCCCCCUCAAGGGUUAACUGAGGCCAAAAAGCAGCCACUCUGGUUCUGAAGCGCCCCCAGCCCCAGGCGCUAAUCCCUGGUCCCGUGGUGGCCACGGGAGUGUGGGUGCGGACAAAGCGGUGUUCAUCCAGCCCCGGGUUUGAUGAUCGCAGCACAAGGACCCCAUUCUCUCGGUCCCCAGCUGCAUGCCCUCCCCCCGGGGAGCCCGACAUCCCGGGAGGGCCCCUGAGGGCGGGGGCUCAGCUGCCGGGGCGCCGGGAAUUCACAAGGGGCCUGCGUUGGGGAGCCCGUUCUGCCUGAAUGGUACAGACAGCUGCAAGUCAGCUCCUCACGCCUGCAGUGGGAAGCUGCCUGCGUUUUUACGGCUGAUUUUUGAACGUGAAGGUGGCGGUUCCCAUCCAGCCUGUUAAAACCUCAUCCCGGUUUCCGUCCAAUGUGACCUUCUGGAAUUGGCUUGCAGAUGCUUUUGCCAUAGAUCAGCAGGUCCUCCCGGCGGCAGAGGUGGUGACCUGCCUUGCUGGGCCUUCCUUCCAGGGACUCAGGGAAACCGGCGGGGCUGGCAGAGCCUGCAGAGGGGGGCUCUCCAGGGAGAACGGGCCUGGGGCGGGGGGGUGCUGCAGCCCGAAGCACGCAAGGGCGAGGCCCACCUCUUCCUGCUCUGUCUACAAAAGGGCAAGAAGCUUGUGGGCACAAGUCUGCCGCGUGCAUCCCAGGCUGUCAGGGACCCAAGACCAGCCCAUCCAUGUCCUGGUUUUGCAGAACUUGGGGCAGGUACCGAGCCUUUGGGUGAGAACACAGGAGAGUCGGUGCCUGUCUCAGGGUGCCCGUCUCAACAUGGGCGUGAUCAUCGCGACACGGGUCCCGGUCUGUCCAGAAGCUUGAGGCGGUGCCAAGGACGCCGCCGGGCACUCAGACGCACAUGCUGUCAUCUGGGCCAGAGGGGCAGGCCAAAGGAGUUGUUUAAAGCCUUACCUUCUGGAUGCCAGUCUGGGCCCCCAACCGAGGCUCUGCCCAUCCCCUGGGCUGCAGCUCGCCAGGUGGGGCCCAGGGCCGCCAAGCGGCCAGGCUGGUGUGGGGGUGUGCUCUCCCCUUCCAGUCCUGGCACUUCUUUCUCCCAGGGCCCACGGAGGCUCCCUCACUCCUUCGCUCUCUGAGAAGACCCCCCCCCCUGCAACUUGUUGAAAGGCAAUCCUGGGCCCCAGCUGUGUACUCCAGCAGGACAAUGCAUCUCGCCCAAGCCCGGAGGUCUCAGGCAGCACGUGGCGGGGUGGCCGCUGGGCUGGGACCUCCUCCCAGCCAGGGGGCAGGGCAGGGCAGGGCAGGGCAGAGGAGGGAGGGCCGGGGCAUAAAUUUUGGAGGAGAGGAGAGGAUGGAGGAGGAGGGGCGAGUGCUUCGUGGGGCCUUGCGGCGGCUCAGAGUCCCUGGCGUGACCUUCCCUGCCACGGGGACAAAGGCCGGCAGGGCGGGCGGCGCCUUUAAGGACGUGGCACGGCGGGGUCGGUGCCAGGAGGCGCCGGGCGCGCCCCGGGGGAGACGCGCUGCGGGCGGAGGAGAGCUGGCGCUCUCAGCCCGAGGCCCCAGGGGCGCCCUGCGUGGUCAUUUGCCCUCCUUGCCCCACUCGCUUGGGGUGGGGGCUGGGUGGACAAGGUCCUCGCCUCUGUUCCGGGCUCGGUGGGGGCGGGGAGCUCCGCGCGCGGGAUGCGGGAUGCGGGGGUGGAAUGCAGACCCCCUGGAGGGACCCGGCGGACUCAGACGAGCAGGUCGGACACCGGCUGCCCGGACUGGAGCUGGAGCCGCCGCCGAGCGGUAGGUGCUGCGCCCGCUUCUCCCCACGCGGGUCCUGGGCGCCCGGCUCAGCUCGCCCUGCAGCGCAGUUUCCAAAGGGCUUUUGUUGCUGGCUGGGAUGUAGGACUUGGAUUUUUUUUCCCCACCCUCCUGGGGGAGGCUUUUUGCGUGGAAAAUUCCUGCUAUUAAAAAAUACAAAUGCAAACCAAACAAAAA